rnacentral:rRNA from 1 species
AACGAACGCUGGCGGCAUGCCUAACACAUGCAAGUCGAACGAGACCUUCGGGUCUAGUGGCUCAUGGGUGCGUCACGCGUGGGAACCUGCCCUUAGGUUCGGAAUACCUCCCCGUAGGGGGUGCUAAUACCGGAUAAUGUCCUCGGAUCAAAGAUUGAUCGCCCUUGGAUGGGCCCGCGUUGUUUUAGCUGGUUGGUAGUGUAAAAGCCUAUGACGGCGUCGAUCCAUAGCUGGUCUGAGAGGAAGAGCAGCGACACUGGGGCUGGGACGCGGCGCGGAAUAUUACGGGAGGGGGCAGAGGGGGAUAUUGGAAUAUGGGCGAGAGGCUGAUCGAGCAAUGCCGCGUAAGUGAUGAAGGCCUGAGGGUAGUAAAGCUCUUUUACCCGGGAUGAUAAUGACAGUACCGGGAGAAUAAGCUCCGGCUAACUCCGUG